rnacentral:rRNA from 1 species
CCUACGGGUGGCAGCAGUGAGGAAUAUUGGUCAAUGGGCGAGAGCCUGAACCAGCCAAGUCGCGUGAAGGAUGACGGAUCUAUGGUUUGUAAACUUCUUUUAUAUGGGAAUAAAGUGAGGAACGUGUUCCUUUUUGUAUGUACCAUAUGAAUAAGCAUCGGCUAACUCCGUGCAAGCAGCCGCGGUAAUACGGAGGAUGCGAGCGUUAUCCGGAUUUAUUGGGUGUAAAGGGUGCGUAGGUGGUUAAUUAAGUCAGCGGUGAAAGUUUGGGGCUCAACCAUAAGAUUGCCGUUGAAACUGGGUGACUUGAGUAUAUUGGAGGUAGGCGGAAUGCGGGGUGUAGCGGUGAAAUGCAUAGAUAUCAGGAAGAACACCGAUUGCGAAGGCAGCUUACUAAACUAUAACUGACGCUGAAGCACGAAAGCGUGGGGAUCAAACAGGAUUAGAUACCCUUGUAGUC